CGCGAGCGGCUCCCGCCCCCUUUUAUUCCCAAUUUUUCUCUUUUUUUUGUCCUUUUUUCCCCUUUUUUCCCUCAAAUUUUACCUGGAUUUUCUCGAAAGGAGCAGAAGAUGAAGCGAGGAAGGAUUUAAAUCCAAAAUUUCCAGGAUUUUCAGGAUGGAAAUGAAUUCCUGGAUUUGGCUCCUGGUGCUGCUGGAGGGGACAAAGGGACAGCAAAAAACAAAAGAGCUCUCUGAUCCCGCCCUCCUCCCCUCAGCCCCUCAGCACCUGCGGCCC